GUUCUGGAAUUCAUGAAAUACGUGGACAGGCUGUGGGUACUCCAGGAGAGGUUUCAGAAACACUACUCAAGAAGAUACAAACAAUUUGGUGUCGCCAUUUUCCCCAUUAUCCCCUGGUUGUGACCUUUUUUUGCCUGAGCCUGCUGACGUCCUGUACCAUUGCCCCACCUCUGGAUUAUCAACCUCUGCCUGACCUGACCCUGAGCCUGCCUGCAGUCCUGUCCCUUUGCUACUCUGGAUUACUGACCUCUGCCUGACAUGAUCCUGUCCCUUUGCUACUCUGGAUUACUGACCUCUGCCUGACCUGAUCCUGUCCCUUUGCUACUCUGGAUUACUGACCUCUGCCUGACCUGAUCCUGUCCCUUUGCUACUCUGGAUUACUGACCUCUGCCUGACCUGAUCCUGUCCCUUUGCUACUCUGGAUUACUGACCUCUGCCUGACCUGACCCUGAGCCUGCCUGCCGUCCUGUCCCUUUGCUACUCUGGAUUACUGACCUCUGCCUGACCUGACCCUGAGCCUGCUGACGUCCUGUACCAUUGCCCCACUACUCUGGAUUACUGACCUCUGCCUGACCUGACCCUGAGCCUGCCUGCCGUCCUGUCCCUUUGCUACUCUGGAUUAUCGACCCCAGUUUGCCUUGACCUGUCGUUUGCCUGCCCUGUUGCUGUAAUAAACUGUUUGCUGCUGUUUGCUGCUGUGUAUAAGUGGGUCAGUGACGGAUUGCUCGCUCUCAGAUUAGUCUGUCUGUCCCAGGGUACCACAGCGCUAGGAGGAGAGGGAUGGUGGGGCGGCAGGGUGAGGCAGAGAGAGAUUUGUCGGAAAAAGGAACAAACAUUAGGGAGGGAGGAUAGAGCCAUAGAUGCAUAGAUACUAGGCUACAGGUGGGUGAGUGAAUGAGUCAGUCUACCCCCAUGCUGCCUCCCACUGGAGAGAAAAGGCACUGCUAAUUGAUCUGCCCUGUGAAUGCACAGAACUAUCUAUCUAUCUAUCUAUCUAUCUAUCUAUCUAUCUAUCUGGUGAGAUGAUAAUACAUUAUAUCACAACGUAACACCAGGGUCCCAACUGCAGACAGAAAGAGCAAUGGUAACUUUGACCGGUUUGUCACUCUAGUCUCUGAGAGGGUGAGGCACAGGAAGGAAAGAG